CAGCGAACACAUAACACAUUCAUCGGACGAAGAAUAAAUGUUCGACUUAGCCGAAGAUUUAGAUUCUUCAUUGUCAUCUUGCGGUACCUCAAGGCUUCAACCCUCUCUUGUCGAAGAGUUUGGUUUAGGGGAAACUACUCCGACUAAUGCCACUGGUUGUGACGACAACUGCCCAACCUCUAUAGCGUUGCGUGAGAGAAUUGCAGCAUUAGAGGCAGAGAAUAAAACCCUCAAACAGGAAUUAGCACUGCAUCAGGUUCCAGGUUAUCCGGAAUAUUACAACAUCACAUACGACGUUGACACGGCUGUGUAUGUCUUCAAGUUGCUGAAGGACUUCAGCAAGGGUGACCUGAAGAUUCUUGUACAAUAAGGGGAUGGUUGAUGGUUUUAGCUCCUGUUGUCUCGCAUGGAUGAUCAGACCAAGGUUGCGGUAUGUCGAAGGAUGAACCAUGUACAUGUGCGUUAUAGGGGGGAGAGGGCCGUAUGACGGGGAGCAGCAUGAGGACAUUAGGGACCAACGAAGUUUUUAUAUGAAACCAGACUAUGAGAGAGUUAAACUUGUGUUGUUGUUAGAAUUAUUUUUAUGAGUUGGUGUAAUUUUGUUGUCUCGUUUUUAUUUUUGGUGUUAAAUAACUCACACAUUUUUAAUGUAUUUGGUCGUUUAUAAAAAUAAGGUUUAAGAAGCCUUUUUCGAUCGGCAUAACCAUUAAAUUGUUGGCAUUCUAAUAAGUAAUGAAAUUCAUCCCCAAUUUUGUUACAGGUUGUACAGAUUCUUAAAUCUAUAGGUGUUCUGUUCCAAUUUCCAAAUUCAGAACUUCAGUCGGUAGCCUGUGGUUUCUUGUCCUGAUUCUGAUUACAAAUUUUAGACAGGCAUGUGGUGUGUUUACUAAAUAUGAUUCAAAGCUGAGAUUUCUUUUAAUCAGUUUAUAGAAAGUACUCUUACUACAGUUUUCAAUUCAUGAUAACCAUUCAUUUAUAAACAGGUCUUUAAGUUUUUGCUUAACAAGUAUUUUAAGCCAGUCAAUGCUAGGAUAACUUUGUGAGCUCCACACAUGCAUAAUUCCACAUGUUAUUAAAAUUGAUUUGUCAUUGAACAACCAGGGAUAAAGGCGUG